UACGAAGGGGGCUAGCGUUGUUCGGAUUUACUGGGCGUAAAGCGCACGUAGGCGGAUUCUUAAGUCGGUGGUGAAAUCCUGGAGCUCAACUCCAGAACUGCCUUCGAUACUGGGAAUCUUGAGUUCGGGAGAGGUGAGUGGAACUGCGAGUGUAGAGGUGAAAUUCGUAGAUAUUCGCAAGAACACCAGUGGCGAAGGCGGCUCACUGGCCCGAUACUGACGCUGAGGCACGAAAGCGUGGGGAGCAAACAGG
rnacentral:rRNA from 1 species